AACGAACGCUGGCGGCAGGCCUAACACAUGCAAGUCGAGCGCCCCGCAAGGGGAGCGGCGGACGGGUGAGUAACGCGUGGGAACGUACCCUUUGCUACGGAAUAGCCUCGGGAAACUGGGAGUAAUACCGUAUGUGCCCUUCGGGGGAAAGAUUUAUCGGCAAAGGAUCGGCCCGCGUUGGAUUAGGUAGUUGGUGGGGUAAUGGCCUACCAAGCCGACGAUCCAUAGUUGGUUUGAGAGGAUGAUCAGCCACACUGGGACUGAGACACGGCCCAGACUCCUACGGGAGGCAGCAGUGGGGAAUCUUAGACAAUGGGCGCAAGCCUGAUCUAGCCAUGCCGCGUGAGCGAUGAAGGCCUUAGGGUUGUAAAGCUCUUUCAGUGGGGAAGAUAAUGACUGUACCCACAGAAGAAGCCCCGGCUAACUCCGUG
rnacentral:rRNA from 1 species